rnacentral:lncRNA from 1 species
GUGCCCCCACCCCUCCGCCCCUUUGUCCCCUGCGCUCCCCUCUCCUGUUCCCCAAACCCUGCGCUGCCUUCUGCCUCCCUCCUGUCCCUCCUGUCCCCUUCUGCCCCUUCUGUCCCCUCCUGUCCCUCCUGUUCCCUCCUGUCCCCAUCCCUGUCCCCUUCUGUCCCCUCCUGUCCCUCCUGUCCCCUCCUGUCCCUCCUGUUCCCUCCUGUCCCCUCCUGUCCCCAUCCCUGCCCCUAUUCCUGUCCCUACCCCCUUCCCUAUUCCUGUCCCCAUCCCUGUCCCCAUCCCUGUCCCCUCCUCUCCCCAUUCCUGUCCCCUUCUGUUCCUCCCCUCCCCAUCUCCUCUUGUUCCUUCCUGUCCCCUCCUGUCCCUAUCCCUGUCCCCUUCUGUCCCCUUCUGUCCCCUUCUGUCCCCAUCCUUGUCCCCAUUCCUGUCCCCAUUCCUGUCCCCUCCUGUCCCUACUCCUGUCCCUGUCCUUGUCCCUAUCCCUAUCCCUGUCCCCUUCUCUCCCCAUCCCUGUCCCCAUUCCUGUCCCCUCCUGUCCCCUCCUGUCCCUACUCCUGUCCCUGUCCUUGUCCCUAUCCCUGUCCCUAUCCCUGUCCCCUUCUCUCCCCAUUCCUGUCCCCAUCCCUGUUCCCAUUUCUGUCCCCUCCUGUCCCUAUUCCUGUCCCCUCCUCUCCCCUCUCCUGUCCCCUUCUGUCCCUCCCCUCCCCAUCUCCUCCUGUCCCUAUCCCUGUCCCUAUCCCUGUCCCCUCCUUUCCCCAUCCCUGUCCCUAUUGCUGUCCCCUCCUGUCCCUCCUGUCCCUCCCAUCCCCUCUGCUGUUCCCCCAUCCCCUCUUGUCCCUUUCAUCCCUUCUGUCCCUAUCCCUGUCCCCUCCUGUCCCCUCUUGUCCCUAUUCGUGUCCCCAUCCCUGUCCCCAUCCCUGUCCCCAUCCCUGUCCCCAUCCCUGCCCCUAUUCCUGUCCCCUCCUGUCCCCCUCCCUGCCCCUAUUCCCCUCCUGUCCCCAUUCCUGUCCCUAUUCCUGUCCCCUCCUCUCCCCUCUCCUGUGCCCUCCUGUCCCUCCCCUCCCCAUCCCCUCUUGUCCCUCCUGUUGUCCCCCCCUGUCCCCUCCUGUCCCCAUUCCUGUCCCUAUCCCUGUCCCUAUUCCUGUUCCCUCCUGGCCUUCCCCUCCUCUCUCUUGUCCCCCCCUGUCCCCAUUCCUGUCCCCUCCUGUCCUUAUCCCUGUCCCUAUCCCUGUUCCCAUUGCUGUCCCCUCCUGUCCCCAUUCCUGUCCCCAUGCAUCCGCUUCUGUCCCUCCUGUCCCUCCUGUCCCUCCUGCCCUCCCUGUCCCCCCUCCCGUCCCCCUCCUGUCCCCAUUCCUGUCCCCAUUCCUGGUCAAUCUGUCCCCUCCUGCCCCUCUCCUUCUGUCCUUCUGUCCCCGUCCCCUCACCUGUCCCUCCUGUCCCUCCUGUCCCCAUUGCCGCCCCUUCUGCUGUCCCUCUCAUCCCUCUCCCGUCCCUUUUCUGUCCCCUUCCUGCCCCUCCUGUCCCUUCUGUCGUCCCUUUUGUCCCCUUCUCCUGCCCCCCCUCCCAUCCCUCCUGUCCCUUUCCUGCCCCUUCUGCCCCCUCUCCUGUCCCUUCUGUCCCUUCUUUUGUCCCUUCUGCCCCCUCUCCUGUCCCUUCUGUCCCUUCUGUCCCUUCUUUUGUCCCUCCUGUCCCCUCUGCUUUUCCUUCUGUCCCUUCUCUUGUCCCUCUGUCCCCUCACCUGUCCCUCUCCCACCCCCCCGUCCCCUCUCCUGUCCCUUUUGUCCCUCCUGUCCCAUCUCCUGUCCGUCUGUCCUUUCUGUUCCUUGUCCCCCUGUCCCUUUCCCUUCUGUCCCUCCUGUCCCCUCGUGUCCCUUCUAUUCCUUCUUUUGUCCCUCCUGUCCCCAUUCCUGUCCCCAUUCCUGUCCCUCCUGUCCCUCCUGUCCCUCCUGUCCCCUCCGCUUUUCCGUCUGUCCCACCUCCUGUCCGUCUGUCCCCUCACCUGUCCCUCUCCCAUCCCUCCCGUCCCUCCCGUCCCGUCUGUCCGUCUGUCCGUCUGUCCCUUCUGUCCCUUGUCCCCCCGUCCCUCCAAUCCCUUCCCUGCUCGCUCCGGUCCCCAUUCCUGUCCUUCUGUCCGCCCAUCUCCCUUUUGUCCGUCUGUCCGUCUGUCCCCGCAGGCUCCGGCUCCGCAAGGCUGCAGCAUUAUGUAACGCGGCCCCCCCGGCGGCCCCCCCUCAUUUUGGGCUCAUUUCCUCCCAAAGAAGCGCAAACCAAAGACGGCUUUUUUUUGUCCUUCUCUUUUCUAUUCAAGUUUUGUNNNNNNNNNNNNNNNNNNNNNNNNNNN